rnacentral:rRNA from 1 species
UAAUGGGUCAGCGACUUAUAUUCUGUAGCAAGGUUAACCGUAUAGGGGAGCCGCAGGGAAACCGAGUCUUAACUGGGCGUUAAGUUGCAGGGUAUAGACCCGAAACCCGGUGAUCUAGCCAUGGGCAGGUUGAAGGUUGGGUAACACUAACUGGAGGACCGAACCGACUAAUGUUGAAAAAUUAGCGGAUGACUUGUGGCUGGGGGUGAAAGGCCAAUCAAACCGGGAGAUAGCUGGUUCUCCCCGAAAGCUAUUUAGGUAGCGCCUCGUGAACUCAUCUUCGGGGGUAGAGCACUGUUUCGGCUAGGGGGUCAUCCCGACUUACCAACCCGAUGCAAACUACGAAUACCGAAGAAUGUUAUCACGGGAGACACACGGCGGGUGCUAACGUCCGUCGUGAAGAGGGAAACAACCCAGACCGCCAGCUAAGGUCCCAAAGUCAUGGUUAAGUGGGAAACGAUGUGGGAAGGCACAGACAGCCAGGAUGUUGGCUUAGAAGCAGCCAUCAUUUAAAGAAAGCGUAAUAGCUCACUGGUCGAGUCGGCCUGCGCGGAAGAUGUAACGGGGCUAAACCAUGCACCGAAGCUGCGGCAGCGACACUAUG